UACGAAGGGGGCUAGCGUUGCUCGGAAUCACUGGGCGUAAAGCGCACGUAGGCGGGUCUUUAAGUCAGGGGUGAAAUCCUGGAGCUCAACUCCAGAACUGCCUUUGAUACUGAGGAUCUCGAGUCCGGGAGAGGUGAGUGGAACUCCGAGUGUAGAGGUGAAAUUCGUAGAUAUUCGGAAGAGCACCAGUGGCGAAGGCGGCUCACUGGCCCGGUACUGACGCUGAGGUGCGAAAGCGUGGGGAGCAAACAGG
rnacentral:rRNA from 1 species